GAAUAAGCACCGGCUAACUUCGUGCCAGCAGCCGCGGUAAUACGAAGGGUGCAAGCGUUACUCGGAAUUACUGGGCGUAAAGCGUGCGUAGGUGGUUGUUUAAGUCUGUUGUGAAAGCCCUGGGCUCAACCUGGGAAUUGCAGUGGAUACUGGGCGACUAGAGUGUGGUAGAGGGUAGUGGAAUUCCCGGUGUAGCAGUGAAAUGCGUAGAGAUCGGGAGGAACAUCCAUGGCGAAGGCAGCUACCUGGACCAACACUGACACUGAGGCACGAAAGCGUGGGGAGCAAACAGGAUUAGAUACCCUGGUAGUCCACGCCCUAAACGAUGCGAACUGGAUGUUGGGUGCAAUUUGGCACGCAGUAUCGAAGCUAACGCGUUAAGUUCGCCGCCUGGGGAGUACGGUCGCAAGACUGAAACUCAAAGGAAUUGACGGGGGCCCGCACAAGCGGUGGAGUAUGUGGUUUAAUUCGAUGCAACGCGAAGAACCUUACCUGGUCUUGACAUGUCGAGAACUUUCCAGAGAUGGAUUGGUGCCUUCGGGAACUCGAACACAGGUGCUGCAUGGCUGUCGUCAGCUCGUGUCGUGAG
rnacentral:rRNA from 1 species